rnacentral:rRNA from 1 species
UACGUAGGGGGCAAGCGUUAUCCGGAUUUACUGGGUGUAAAGGGGGCGCAGACGGCAGCGCAAGCCAGGAGUGAAAGCCCGGGGCCCAACCCCGGGACUGCUCUUGGAACUGCGCGGCUGGAGUGCAGGAGGGGCAGGCGGAAUUCCUGGUGUAGCGGUGAAAUGCGUAGAUAUCAGGAGGAACACCGGUGGCGAAGGCGGCUUACUGGACUGUAACUGACGUUGAGGCUCGAAAGCGUGGGGAGCAAACAGG